AUUGAACGCUGGCGGUAUGCUUAACACAUGCAAGUCGAACGGCAGCAUGGUCUAGCUUGCUGGACUGAUGGCGAGUGGCGGACGGGUGAGUAACGCGUAGGAGUAUGCCUUGAAGAGUGGGACAACUUGGGGAAACUCAAGCUAAUACCGCAUGUACUCGAGAGAGUAAAGCUGGGGACCUUUAGGCCUGGCGCUUUAAGAUUAGCCUGCGUCCGAUUAGGUAGUUGGUAGGGUAAAGGCCUACCAAGGCGACGAUCGGUAGCUGGUCUGAGAGGAUGAUCCGCCACACUGGAACUGAGGAACGGUCCAGACUCCUACGGGAGGCAGCAGUGGGGAAUAUUGGACAAUGGGGGGAACCCUGAUCCAGCAAUGCCGCGUGUGCGAAGAAGGCCUGAGGGUUGUAAAGCACUUUCAGUGGGGAGGAGGUUUGGAAGGUUAAGAGCUAUUCAAAUGGACGUUACCCACAGAAGAAGCACCGGCUAACUCCGUGCCAGCCGCCGCCGUAA
rnacentral:rRNA from 1 species